ACUGGCCCACGGUCACAGAGCCAGCUAAUGGCAGAGAUGGGACUGGAAUUCAGGUCUUCUGAUUCCCAGAUAAAGAAACGGACUAGUGAAACCACUUGAGGAUGAAGGGGAAAGGAGUGAGUGAGGGGAGAUUUAACUGAAGAAAGAACACGUGAGCUGGUCCUUGAAACAGGAAUUCUCCUGGCAAAUGAG